CAACAGCUGGUGACCGGAAGUGACGUUCGACCCAGGAAGCGGUGUUAGGGGACCCGCUGCCGGCCUCCUCCACACCGAGGCGGCCAGUAUUCUACGUCUUAAUGUACAACUCCUGGAAGCAAAUCGUUUGGCUUCUUCUUGCAACAUUGACAAUGUACGAACCAAUGUCUUCAAACACUGGAUGUUCUAGGCGGCUCUGUGGGUGACAUUAAAAGCAAGCAUCAGGGUGCAGUGCUGCAGACUAUUAAGUCUUUGAAGCUUCCAGACAAGAUGUUUACUGACUUCAGUGCACAGGGCAGCUACUGUAUUGAAUGUUGACGUUUUUGGGUACCUGACAGAAAAUGGUUUGAUUCAUCCAUUGGCAAAUUUGCAAGAGGUAGCCAAUGUCUUCAAACACUGGAUUUUUUGAUGACACUUUGGUAGGCAUUAUAAGCAAGCAUCAGGAUACAGUGCUGCAGACUAUUGAGUCUCCGAAGCUGCCGGACAAGAUUAUUACUGUCUUCAAUGCACAGGGCAGCUACUCUGUUGAAUAUUGAGGUUAUUUAGUACCUGAAAGAAAAUGGUUUGCUUCAUCCAUUGGCAAAUUUGCAAGAAGAAGUCAAUGUCUUCAAACACUGGAUGUUCUAGGCGGCUCUGUGGGUGACAUUAAAAGCAAGCAUCAGGGUGCAGUGCUGCAGACUAUUAAGUCUUUGAAGCUUCCAGAUAAGAUGUUUACUGACUUCAGUGCACAGGGCAGCUACUGUAUUGAAUGUUGACGUUUUUGGGUACCUGACAGAAAAUGGUUUGAUUCAUCCAUUGGCAAAUUUGCAAGAGGUAGCCAAUGUCUUCAAACACUGGAUUUUUUGAUGACACUUUGGUAGGCAUUAUAAGCAAGCAUCAGGAUACAGUGCUGCAGACUAUUGAGUCUCCGAAGCUGCCGGACAAGAUUAUUACUGUCUUCAAUGCACAGGGCAGCUACUCUGUUGAAUAUUGAGGUUAUUUAGUACCUGAAAGAAAAUGGUUUGCUUCAUCCAUUGGCAAAUUUGCAAGAAGAAGUCAAUGUCUUCAAACACUGGAUGUUCUAGGCGGCUCUGUGGGUGACAUUAAAAGCAAGCAUCAGGGUGCAGUGCUGCAGACUAUUAAGUCUUUGAAGCUUCCAGACAAGAUGUUUACUGACUUCAGUGCACAGGGCAGCUACUGUAUUGAAUGUUGACGUUUUUGGGUACCUGACGGAAAAUGGUUUGAUUCAUCCAUUGGCAAAUUUGCAAGAGGUAGCCAAUGUCUUCAAACACUGGAUUUUUUGAUGACACUUUGGUAGGCAUUAUAAGCAAGCAUCAGGAUACAGUGCUGCAGACUAUUGAGUCUCCGAAGCUGCCGGACAAGAUUAUUACUGUCUUCAAUGCACAGGGCAGCUACUCUGUUGAAUAUUGAGGUUAUUUAGUACCUGAAAGAAAAUGGUUUGCUUCAUCCAUUGGCAAAUUUGCAAGAAGAAGCCAAUGUCUUCAAACACUGGAUGUUCUAGGAGGCUCUGUGGGUGACAUUAAAAGCAAGCAUCAGGGUGCAGUGCUGCAGACUAUUAAGUCUUUGAAGCUUCCAGACAAGAUGUUUACUGACUUCAGUGCACAGGUCCUUCCCGUGUUUGCUUUCCACUGCCACACCUUACACCACCACCGCCUGAGGUCCCGCACAGACACAGUGGUCUAGGGGUCUUUUUACUAAACCUUGGAUGGAGAUUAAGUGGACGGAGAUAAAGUACCUUCCAAUCAGCUCCUAACUGCGAUGUCACAGGCUUUGGUUGAAAAAUGACAGGAGCUGAUUGGAUGGUUCUUUAUCUUCAUACUUUAUCUCCUUCCAAGGCUUAGUAAAUAGACACAUUAUUCCUCAAGAGGAGAUCACAGCCAUCCUCACAUCCAUGGAGCCACCAGCCCACCGACACAGCAGUAGCAACCGUCAGCGGUCACCCCACAGAGCACCACCCCAAAUAUGGAAGAGCUUGCAUCCUCACUCCGCACCUUCAGGGAACACCAGAUUGCAUUGCUGGACUGCCAAACGUGACAAAUGUACGCCAUCAGCCACCAGUUGCGGAAUCUAAACACACCACCACGGUGGCUCAGGGGACCCGCAUCUGGAUGAUCAGUGAAUUUAAUCUGUAUGCUCUAGUUUACACAGGCUGCAAAAGGGAGCUGAAAAGCCAAGGAGCCGUUAAGGAUGCUCCCUCCACAUCAGCGGCCUGCUACCAGCACCCAAACAGUAUCAAGGGCGACUCCCCCAAGGCAUAAUGCCUGUACAUGGGGAGGUGCACCUGUAGGGGCAGAGGCACUUCAGGGAUUUAUUUUCGCCUUCAUCCACUAAGGGACACUGGAGCAUAUAGACAAUGGGGUGUAGACAAGUAGGUAAUUGGAGCCUGGCACUUUAAAUUUUUUUCAGGAAGUGUAGCUGGGGUCUCCCCCUCCAAACCCAGUUUAAAUUAGUGCUACAUUUUACUUUAUUUUUUUUUUUAUUUUUUUUUUUUAUCUUCACAGAAUACUUCAACAGGCAGGUUGUAUGCUGCUGCAGUUUUGUCUGCAACAGGUAAAGCCUUCAGAGGGACCUUUACUGCUUAUUAGAAAUCUUGUAUCUGGGUCUCUGGCUAUAGGAUCAACUGACUCUGGGGACACAACACUGCUUACUGAAAAGCUAUCUGGUCUUGCGGCCUCCCUCACAGCGGAUGGCGUAGGCAGCUGUGAGUAUCCCACCAUUGUGGGCCCCUUCAGCUGUGGGUGCCUCCAAGCACGGUUAGGUAAUUGCACUGGCUAUUCCACAUGCCCUAUCCUUGUACCAGCACUAGUGAAGUUGUAGGGCAGCAUUUGCUGCCGGCUACUCUCUGCUUCUGUCACUACCAGGCAUGGCAGAGCCACCCUGACAGCUCUGCUUAGAUCUAAUUGUCCAGCCCUCUUCAUCAGCUCCAGAUAAUAGCCUGCACCAAAUUACCGACAUUAUUUGAAAUUCAGGGACUGCUGAGAGGCAGGGCUCAGGGUCGUCACUCAUUGAAUGGAUUGCCCUCUCUCAGGGGCUGUGCUGGGACUUUAGUAUUGCAGAUCCCAGGAUUAUCAGCUUCCUGUUUUCCCCCAGGGGCUAGACCCCUCACAAUUCUGUAUUGCCAUCUACAGCCACAUUAGUGGCCAGCUGCAGAUGCUAUUCUGGCGGUUGCUGGCUUAGGCCCUGUUCUAAAUUGAUAAGGAGCUAAUUAUUAAGUGUAUAUUAAUAUAUUAUGUGUAUUUCUCUGACGUCCUAGUGGAUGCUGGGACUCCGUCAGGACCAUGGGGAAUAGCGGCUCCGCAGGAGACAGGGCACAAAAUUUAAAAGUUUGACCACUAGGUGGUGUGUACUGGCUCCUCCCCCCAUG